CCCCUUUCUCCUCCUACACGGACCUCCCCAGCUGCCUGUGCCUGGAGAGUUCGCUUAGCACAUGUGUUUGCAAGGGCCCUUUUUGCUUUCUACUUCACUGCCUCCUCCUCUAAAUUCAAUCCAGAACAAUUUCUUUUGUGCCACCCACAGAGGCAAGGCACACUACUAGGCACAUGUCCCAGACACAUGGUCGGUGCUAGUUGAAGGAGGUAGAGAUCUCUGGACUCAACAAACCUGCUUUCUUGGAAGCACACACUCUUCUGAGCAACCAGCAUGUGAUCAUCCAAGUGGCAUCUCGGACCAAGCAGUGCGUGGCUAGCAGCUCCUGGAGCCCUGGCCUGCGAAAUACGGGAAGCAGGCGUGUAACUGAGUGAAUAGGCAUUCCAAUAAUAGCAUCAGAAGGAGAGAAUGGUUAAAUGCCCUGACUCACGUCCCCAGUGCAUGCAGGGCUGUCGCAGAGGCAGAGGGGUGUGGGCUGUGGGCUGUGGUUGGGGCGGGGCGACUUCUCUGUGCAGGGGGAUUACCUGGGAAGACCAGGAAAUGGGCAGAGCACACACGGGAGCCCAGAAGCUUGAAGUGUGUUGGGGGUCAACUGCGCUGACUCACCCAGGAAGGUGAGAGGGCAAUGACCAAAUAGGAAGCAAGUUGCCUGUCAGGGAAGCCCUCAGAGAAACAGGAAGUGUGAUCAGCUGGUAAAAAGCUCUGAAAAGCUCACAUUGACAUUAUGCUUUUAUUCUCUGUUCUCACUCUUUUCUCUUUCUCUUUUCUUCCUUUCUUUCCUUCCUUCUUUCUUUCUUUCUUUCUUUCUCUCUCUCUCUCUCUCUCUCUCUCUCUCUCUCUCUCUCUUUCUUUCUUUCUUUUUUUUUUCUUUUCAAGAUGGGCAUUUGCUGAGCAAGCACCAUGGUACUGAGUCUCUCUGACCUGCUACUUGGAGGGUGUGAUUCUGUCUGGGCCUGUAGAUGGGGAGAAUCCUGAUGAGUGUGUGGAGGAGGUAAAAGAUUUGGGGAACUCUCUCAGCAUCGGGUUUCUUUCCCAACCUCAUUGCUGUACUAACAGAUAUUGACUGAGCCUCAGCUUCAGUUUUGUAAAAAAUGCCCAGCCCAAAGGGUGCUAGCUGGGCAGGCACGCAGCUUCUGAAAGACAUCAGCAGAAAUACCAUGCUGAGCCAUCCCAGUUAAAGAGGCAUCUUCUGACAUUGUCUACCCGAGGGUAGAUAACUUUUUCUACUAGCAUAAAGACACCGUGAGUGCCAGACACAGCUCUGUUUACUGACAUUCCAGACUUAAGAGAAUUUGGUGGGCAUUGUUCCAUUCAAUUAUUAUAAUAAACUAAGAGAAAGACUGAUUAAGUCCCAUUUUCCAGAGGAGACAAUGGAAGCACACAGGGUAAUCCGAUACACCACUGUGAGUCUCAGAUAGGAAAUCUGUACAUAGACCAUAUUGCCUCCUGGUACUGUCUUUUUGUAGACCUGGUUGAUUACUUAAAUCAUGGGAGGCUGAGAAUGUCCUCUGUUCUCAGAGAAGGCUUAAAGGUUGACAAAGAAUGGCAAUUUGUUGGGGAAUUCUUUAGAAGAAGUACCAAUCUUCAUGGCCAAGCUGCCCCAGGACUGACUUCCAGGCAAGAUAAAAAUCUAAGUGUCCCUUGGCUGGGAAGCAAGUCUGCAUAGAAGGUUCCCAGACAAUGUAAGAGAAGCAUCCGUGUUGAUCAACACUCAGUACCUCUCCCAUCCCCUCAGUGCCCCCAGGGAGUGUUGUUCUGCACGUAGGGGAUGAUGCAGGAAUCUGCAGGGAAUAAGCUACAGGCUGUCUGCCAUCCAAAUGAGCCUGUAGCUCACAGGGGGACUAAAAGCUUCAGCCCUGAUACUCUCCGGCAUCAGAACCCAGGUUUGGCAUGCUUACGGGCUCCCCAGGUAAUUCCAGAAACAGGAGUUCUGAGAACCACGCUUUGUGUAACUCCAUUGUGGCUUUCAUGUCACUAUAGGUCAUCUCAUCUGCAUAAACUGAUGAAACUGACCUUGAAAACCCUUUGGUUGUGUGAAUGCUAACAGCUCUGGAGUCUUGACUGACUUGCCAUGUGUUUUCAAAAUAGAUUCAUCUCUCAAAAGGACCUAGAAACUUAUUUGUGGUGGCCCCAGAGAGAGGUUCUGGCAGAGGAGGGAGUAACUGGGAUGGGAUGAAAUGCCUAGAAGAAAAACAUUAAAAGGGAAGGUAAAACUUCCAGCGACCUGACCCAUAUUUUGGGGCUCAAAAUUUCUGUAAAACUAAAUGUUUUUAUAUAUAAAGACAAAGGUUUGAUAAAUGAGCAUGAAUAGGGAAUUAUAUUCUGCAAGGACAGCUUACAUCUUUAAAUUUAGGCAUGGAAGAUUAUUCAGGCCAGACUUUGAAGUACUUCCUCGAAUUUCCAACUUGAUCCCCCUCCACCACACAACAGUAGGCAGCAUGGGCUCACUUGUGAUUUGCAACACAUUACAAAGGCAUGCGGCCUAGAAAUGUCUUUGCAAUCUGGCAGACACAGCUUCCUUCAGUGGCUUCCUUUGGAAGUACCUCAGUCUCUUUGUCAUCUGCCAUCUUGGGAGGGAUUGCUGACAAAUUUGGCAUGCAGCUAUGGGAAGGACCGCAGGUAAGACUGAUGGGAGAUCCUAAGAGGCACACAUGGAGGUAUGGCUAUAGGUUCAUAGGCUAAAGGGCAGUUUUGUUUAUUCUUGUUGUGGUUUGAAAGUCAGCUUAUGUGUUUGAACACUUAAUCCCCCAUGUUUGUGCUAUUUUUGGAAGGUUCUGGAAGUUUUAGAAGAUGAGCCCUUGCUGCAGGAAGUGGGUCACCGGGUGGGUUGGGGUAGUUUGAGGUUUUAUGUCCUGGCCCCAUUCAUUUCCUGUUCCUUUUCUAAAUUCUGUUUCACCAAGCUGUGAGGAAGUGAGGAGUCUCAGCCAUACACUCUUGUUCAUCAUGAAGCCUGCUGUGAUACCUUACCUUCCACAGCAGACAACACUCCCUCAAACUGUGAGUCCAGGUAGCUCCUGACUGUCAUUGUGCAGCCCACCAAGAACUAUGAGUAUUUCCCACCCCAUUCUUGCCCCAUUUAUUAAAGUUAGUACUUUCUCAUUACAAGUCAACAGUUGACUACAUCAUAUAUUCUAGCUUCUUCCUGUCUCAAGGGGAUGGAGGUCUGUACGUCAAAGAUGCACACUGUGUUCUAACACAGCAGAUUUCUCUCCCUUAAUCAACAGCCCUUGGACCCUUUUCCAAUGUCUAUUGCUUUGAACAGU
rnacentral:lncRNA from 1 species